GACUGACAGAGCAGCACAUAAGUCUACUUGCUUCGAUGGUCAAUGUUGUUACAAAGAAAGUUUUGAUCCAGUGGUAAGAUUCCACACAGAGCCAGGAAAUGGACGACUGGUUACAGUCAACGCUGCAGACAGUCCAUGACCGACUUCCUGAAGAACUCCGUCAAUCCCUGAUGAAGGGAGGUCCAGUUGAUGACCCCUUCGAUCAAAUCUGCACAAAUGUUGCACGAGAAGAGGAUGAGAGCACUGCCGUUACUUCAAGGGCUGAGAGCUCAAGGACACUGAAAAGAGGCAAAGGGGGCGGUGUGGGCCGAGAAUGUGCCUAUACUGUGAAGCCAAAGGCCACCAAUAACAAGCAGGGCAGGCAAAUGGACAGAGUGAGGCAACAACCAAAGAUGGAGAGUCAGAGAGACACUCUAGGAUAUCUAGAGAGGGUGAGAGAGAUGGAGAGACUCUCGGACUUUGAAAUGCACCAGGGGAGAAUGAGAGAGAUGGAGAGAAUGAGAGAGAUAGAGAGGAACAGAGAGAGGGAGCUGGAGGAAGAAUGGAUCAGACUGAGAAAGAAGAAGCAAGAGGAAGAGAAGAGGAAAGGAAAGGAACAGGCGAAACAAUUUGAAGAGCAAAAGAGGCAUGCGGAAAUGCUGAGAGAUAUUGAUGGAGAAUUCCAACAGUUCAAGGCAACAUUGAUGGAGAAGGAGCGGAUGCUCGAGAAGGAGCAUCCGCUCCCUCCGGAGCUGGAGGAAGAAUGGAUCAGACUGAGAAAGAAGAAGCAAGAGGAAGAGAAGAGGAAAGAA